rnacentral:rRNA from 1 species
UACGGAGGGUGCAAGCGUUAUCCGGAUUCACUGGGUUUAAAGGGAGCGUAGGCGGCGUGGUAAGUCAGAUGUGAAAUCCCGGGGCUCAACCCCGGAACUGCAUCCGAUACUGCCAUGCUAGAGGAUUGGAGAGGUAGCUGGAAUUCUUGGUGUAGCAGUGAAAUGCGUAGAGAUCAAGAGGAACACUCGUGGCGAAAGCGAGCUACUGGACAAUUCCUGACGCUGAGGCUCGAAGGCUAGGGUAGCGAAAGGG